rnacentral:rRNA from 1 species
UACGAAGGGGGCUAGCGUUGCUCGGAAUCACUGGGCGUAAAGCGCACGUAGGCGGAUUGCUAAGUCAGGGGUGAAAUCCUGGAGCUCAACUCCAGAACUGCCUUUGAUACUGGCGAUCUUGAGUCCGGGAGAGGUGAGUGGAACUGCGAGUGUAGAGGUGAAAUUCGUAGAUAUUCGCAAGAACACCUGCGGCGAAGGCGGGUUGCUGGGCUGAUACUGACGCUGAUGCGCGAAAGCCAGGGGAGCGAACGGG